GGCGACCGACCUCGGGAGCUUGCACAGGUGCUGCAUGGCUGUCGUCAGCUCGUGUCGUGAGAUGUUCGGUUAAGUCCGCUAACGAGCGCAACCCUCGCUGUGUGUUACAAGUGUCACACGGUACUGCCGGUCUUAAGCCGGAGGAAGGUGGGGAUGACGUCAAGUCAGCAUGGCCUUUAUGUCCUGGGCUACACACACGCUACAAUGGCCAACACAAUAGGUUGCUAAGCCGCGAGGUGGAGCCAAUCCUCAAAGUUGGUCUCAGUUCAGAUUGCAGGCUGCAACCCGCCUGCAUGAAGAUGGAGUUGCUAGUAACCGCAGGUCAGCUAUACUGCGGUGAAUACGUUCCCGGGGCUU
rnacentral:rRNA from 1 species